AGAGUAUAAGAAGAAGUAUGGAGAGGAACACGGCUCCUGCCAGGCUGGGAUAGCAGGCUUCUUCACUGAGGAGCUGGUGGUGAUGGGUGCCCCAGGGUCAUUUUAUUGGGCCGGCACGGUCAAAGUGCUGAACCUUACGGACAACACCUAUUUCAAACUGAACGAUGAAGCAAUCAUGAACAGACGGUACACUUACCUGGGAAUUCAGCUGGAUAGGGAUCAAACCAUUCUGAACACCUAC